rnacentral:rRNA from 1 species
UACGUAGGGUGCAAGCGUUGUCCGGAAUUAUUGGGCGUAAAGAGCUCGUAGGCGGUUUGUCGCGUCUGCUGUGAAAGUCCGGGGCUCAACUCCGGAUCUGCGGUGGGUACGGGCAGACUAGAGUGAUGUAGGGGAGACUGGAAUUCCUGGUGUAGCGGUGAAAUGCGCAGAUAUCAGGAGGAACACCGAUGGCGAAGGCAGGUCUCUGGGCAUUAACUGACGCUGAGGAGCGAAAGCAUGGGGAGCGAACAGG